UAACAGGUUGCUUUAACUGUUUAUGCGAGUUAUUUGAACACGCAGCUGACAACCAAUCAGAGAGCAGGGUUCUCACCUUGGAUUUUCUGUGCAUAUGGGUUUACUAUUUGAAAGACGGGAUCGAGAGCUUUCAGCACCACCUGGUGGACAAACAGAAGAAAGAGAUCUUUUCUCUGUUUCUAAAAGAAGGAGUGGUACUUGUGUAAAAGCUUCAGCUUUAUUCUCAUUUGUUCCAGUCUGAUUCUUCACUGACACAAUUUCUAAUCUCUGGUUUGAUAUCAUCUGGAUCAAACCUAUCCGUCAUUUUCAUCAACGACGUCAUCGAUGCUGUCAGCCGCCUGAUUGGACACUGCAGGAAAAUGAAGCGAACAAUCUUCUGCAAAGUAACGAAAAACUUUCCAACUUCGUCCAAAAUCUUUCGAUCGCUCCACCAACAUGGCCGUCGGACGGAAACUCUGCAGAGAGCAAGCACAGGAAGUGACAUCACAGUGUGCUACCUUGAAGGUGAGGACCAGGUGACUGAACUGGAACACGGUCUCCAGAUCCAACCUGAGGCUGACCUGAUGAACUCCUGCAGACAACACAGCAGCAGGUACACAGGUAUCCAAUGAUGCAGUAGUCCUGUGGUCCAUCCAGACCGCAGGUGGACGAGGCUGACAACUGAUCCGCUCGACCAACCAUCAGGUCACCAAGCUGGGGGUUACAGGAGCCGCCGGGGCACUGGUCCUGGAGGUCCUGGAGCUGAGCAACUGGAAGAAAAACUGCAGAAGGAUAGAUGGGUCAGAAAGAUUUUAAAGUCUAGGGGAGAUGUCAAAUGUU